GGGUGAGUAACACGUGAGCAACCUGCCCCUGACUCUGGGAUAAGCGCUGGAAACGGCGUCUAAUACUGGAUACGAACAACGGCCGCAUGGCCAGUUGUUGGAAAGAUUUUUUGGUUGGGGAUGGGCUCGCGGCCUAUCAGCUUGUUGGUGAGGUAAUGGCUCACCAAGGCGUCGACGGGUAGCCGGCCUGAGAGGGUGACCGGCCACACUGGGACUGAGACACGGCCCAGACUCCUACGGGAGGCAGCAGUGGGGAAUAUUGCACAAUGGGCGGAAGCCUGAUGCAGCAACGCCGCGUGAGGGAUGACGGCCUUCGGGUUGUAAACCUCUUUUAGCAGGGAAGAAGCGAAAGUGACGGUACCUGCAGAAAAAGCGCCGGCUAACUACGUGCCAGCAGCCGCGGUAAUACGUAGGGCGCAAGCGUUAUCCGGAAUUAUUGGGCGUAAAGAGCUCGUAGGCGGUUUGUCGCGUCUGCUGUGAAAUCCCGAGGCUCAACCUCGGGCCUGCAGUGGGUACGGGCAGACUAGAGUGCGGUAGGGGAGAUUGGAAUUCCUGGUGUAGCGGUGGAAUGCGCAGAUAUCAGGAGGAACACCGAUGGCGAAGGCAGAUCUCUGGGCCGUAACUGACGCUGAGGAGCGAAAGGGUGGGGAGCAAACAGGCUUAGAUACCCUGGUAGUCCACCCCGUAAACGUUGGGAACUAGUUGUGGGGUCCAUUCCACGGAUUCCGUGACGCAGCUAACGCAUUA
rnacentral:rRNA from 1 species